rnacentral:lncRNA from 1 species
GAGACAUUUCAUUACUGUUCUGAAUAUACAAGGCAAUGUUUCAAGACUGACAUUCAAUGGGAAAGACCAACAUAGUUAAGUUGGUAAUAGGUCAUAGGUAACCAAAUACAUAGAUAGUACUUCUAUAUCGUUCGUGCAGAAAAAAGAGUAUCCUUAGGGUACUAAUUAGAUAAAAUAUAUUAUCCCCCAUACUUUUAGUAGAAGGUUGCAUUUCAUAUCCGGUGAGACAAGAAAAGGCCCAAUAGACUGAUUUAGUCUUAAUAGUAUUAGUGUUGGAAGAGGGCAGUCCCAAAUGAAAAAAGCCAUUUCUCGAUCCCAAGAAUCAAGCUUUCAUCCUUUUCCGCUAUCGUCAAGACAAACCUUAAAAACAUACCAGUAACCAUAACUUAUCAGUCAUCCUAUUGUUGAUGAAUCAAAGCGAGAUCAGAUUGCUCUUGAUGACGAGGGUUGAAGAGGCUUUCUAUUGAUCCACCUACUUUCAACUGAACAGUAGUUAGUUAAGGAGUGCCGGGUUUGCUUGAUAAGGGAUUCUUGUUUUGACUGCUACAUUAAGGGCAACACAACUACCUCUCCUGCUUUCAAUUGCUAAGGAUUCCUCCUUCCCCAUUGUCCUCUCCUACCCGCCUUUCCCACAUCCAUCAAAAGGAUGCUCGCUUGUCAAGCUAUGUGCUUUCUUUCCUUUCAAAACUCUAUGUAUUCAUUUGCUUUCUUACCAGGCCUACCCAGGAAAGGGGUAUAGAUAGAAGGAGGGAUCCUCCGACCAUAGGUCUAUUGAAUCGAAAAAACACUAUUUUUUAUCCAGCAGCUGCUUUUAUUUUCUCUACGAAGAGAGUGGCUAGCUAGCUUCUUUGCCAACUUCGAGUGACUGUGACUACUCUUACUGGCCGUAACUCACAGAAGAGGCAGGAAGACUUUUUACUCAAAAUUGAUAAGCGAUCAAACCCUUAGUUGUAACCUGCACACCAAGAAUAGAUAUCUAUGUUAGCUAGCGGGGGCAGGCUUUCCCCUGGUAGUCCCGCAGCGUCCUCUGACCCGGGUUGGGUUAGGGGAAGAUCCGAGCGAUUGCCUUCGCGGAUCCAAACGUGCUCACAAGGCGCACAAUAAGAAUAAGACCAAUAGAGACUUCAUAAGGGACCAUUUGAGCUGCAGAUCGUAAUGCUCCUAGAAAGGCAUAUUUCGAAUAUAGAGGACGUUCCCAACAAUCCACGAGAAUAUCAUACCCAACUAUGAACCGUACGAGCACAUCCUCUGUCACCCCCACCGCGCUUACGGCUCUAUACCCCAACCCAACUUGCUCUGGCCCUUGGUCCUCCCGCAUCUCUUCCUCGGUAAGCGGACCGUGGAAGCUGGGGGGUAUCCGCUUGGGACUGAUAGAGAACAGCAUAUCUUUUUUGUCCCUCCUGACCCCUAAAAAAAAUAUAGUUGAAGUCCGGUCGACGUUGUUAUCCUUAUAUAUUCUGUCAAAGAAAGUCCCUCGCGUAAAUUGCUUUGAAUAGGUAAAUCAAUCAUUUGUCCUUGAGGAUCCGCCAUUAAUCCUCGCAUACCUACUAAUUGGUGUACCUGAGAUGCAUUUCCUCUAGCUCCUGAAAAAGACAUUAGAUAGACUGGAUUAGAAGGAUCUGUUAUCCGAAAAUUCGAAUUCAUUUCUUGUUUCAAAUAUUCACUUGUAGCAUACCAGAUUUCAACGGAUUGGCGUAAUUUUUCUACCGCGUGUACAGCCCCAUAAUAAUAGUGUUUUUCCAAAAUAAAACUCUGUUGUUCCGCAUCUUGGACUAACCAUCCCUUAGAGGGUAUUGUUAAAAGAUCCUCGAUUCCUAAUGAAAUCGAUGUAGUAGUGGCUUGAUGGAAGCCCAGCGUUUUUAUUUGAUCCAGUAUAUGGGAUGUAUAUCCCAUUCCGAAAUGAUCUAUUAAUCUGCUAAUAAGUCCGCCUUUUUCAUCUUCCGUAGGGGCCUUUAGUCUUUUGAUUAGAGUAGAGGUCGCGACAGAGCAGAGCGUACCGCCCUGCCAUAGUCGCGAGGAUCUUAAUAGUCGGUCGCGACUGUUGUCAUAGUCAACGACGGUUGAAACUUCCAGGAAAAAACUUCGAAUUGGGAGGGCGAUCCUCCCGGUGAGCUGACCGUACCCCAAACCGACACAGGUGAACAAGUAGAGUAUACUAGGGCGCGUCGAGAGAACCAUGUCGAAGGAACUCGGCGGGCUUUGUGUAAAUGGCUUCAUGUUGGUAUGGGGUAUUACCCUAUUUUACUCAAAAUACUGUGUCCAAAAGCCUGCUGCUUAUGGUACUGCUAGUCUGUUAUGUACAAGUAUCUUACCGACGAAAAAUGAGAGAUAACAUGCUUUUUUUCCAAAUUUUUUUUCUAAUGUGCAUAGAUCGUAAGGGGAUAACAGAGGAGAUGCUGAGGAAAGUGUUGGGGAUUGGAAUGGAGUUUUUCAAGUUGCCUAGGAUUUAGAGUCCAACGCGCAAAGCUAAAGAGGAUUUCAAGUCCCCCGCCCGCCAGAACCUAAAGAUUGCUUUAUUUAUAUACGAUUUAUUGAGUUAACUAAAAAGCUGGUUCAUUCCAUAGAGAUCAGACUUAGAAAAGGAAGCUCUGCUAAAAGCUAAAUCGCUAAUAAGUUCAAACAUCAAAGGUACCUGUCUACAUCUACCUACCCGAAGCUACUAAAACAUCAUCAACAACAACAUCGGAAACUAGAUGAAUAAUUGAAACAAUCGGGUUGAAUGGAAUUAUCUUGAGGCUAUUAUGCGCAAGCUUGGUUUCCACCAGGUCGAAAAGGUGAUGAAAUGUGUGACGUCGGUCUCUUUUUCGGUGCUUUUCAAUGGUGGCCAACUGGAGAAGUUGAAGCCAACGAGAGGCAUCCGUCAAGGUGACCCUAUCUCCCCAUAGUAAGCCAGCCAAUAGUACCCUAACUUAAGAAGUUCUCUUAGCUAGCGCAUGUCCAUUAAUGUGACCACCGCAUGCACCUGAAAACAAUAUUCAACUCCAUGCCUUCAAGAGCAUAAAUGGGUAACAGCCAGAAAUACAUGAAGAAUCACUUCUUUCGAGAAUGUGCCUGAGCACGUGUUUCAUUAAGAAGAUACAUGAAGAAUCACAUACCAGCAAAAAUGUCUUCACUUAAAUUUAUACCACAGGAAGCCUUGCUAAUGCCUCCUCUUGUAAUGUUAAAAAUCCUGUCGAACACAUCAGGAUGUCCAUAGUGAAAUCGUACCCUGCACAGAGAAUGAAGUAUGUCAGAUACACAGCAUUUAGACUACAAGUCUGAUGCCUUCUGCCCUCUCAGACAGUACUGCCACACUUUAUCCCGUCAACAUGCUUAAACUUGAAAAGCUUCAAUGCAGAAAAAGUUUCAAGCAAUGUAGAUUAUUGAUCUAAUCUGUAACACCUUAUUUACUUGUAAUCUCAUACACAUGUUCAUGUGCAUUUUCAAGGGCAGAAAGAAUAUCCUUAAAGGGUCAUCUCGCAAUCUUUUUCUAGGGGAUAGUCACCACAGAUGCUCAGCAGAUCCAACAUCGUAUUGCAACAUAUAAGACACUCAGUGUUUACAGUAUGAUAAUAAUGGAUAUUGUUUCAUUCCAAUAUGACAUAAGAAAAUGAUUCAUACUUACUUUAAUGGAUUAGCUAGGACCCUCUGUCCUAUUGUCACAAAGCUGGUCUCCUGGUUCGACAUAAACCAUGCAAGUGACGACACACUACAAUCCAGCAUUCUCAGAAAUUAGUUGCUGAUUUGGGAACUAAGGUGAAGAAAAUGCAAUGAUAACUGCAAAGUUUUCAACCUACCUUCCCGCCAAGCGGGAGAAGGGGCGAAGCGAGAACUCAGGAAUGAAUGAACCAAGAAGGGUUCAAGACAAAAGAAUUCUACUCAGGAUGUUGAUCUUCUGACCACGAAACUGAGCAAGAAGUCCAUCCGAUAGUGGGGGAGAUCAAAAAGUACUUUUUUAUGGGCUUGCCCUGGCGCACAACCACUCCAAUCCGCCUGGGUCUUCUCGAAUGUGUAGAACCUACUUUAAAACCCGCGUCCUCGCUGAGGAGUGCCUACGUACUUUCUUCAUAGAAGAAAGAUCAGGGUUGCUUUCGUAGUUCUUUCGAAAUGAUUUACGGUCAUUCUUCUUUAUUUUAUUGAAUACAUUACAGCUAGUACCCGGGAAAAGGAAUACAACUGAGCAAGAUAAUUGGAUUGAACCAGAUGCCGUAAAGAGUCAAAGUAAAAUCCAUUAGCGCCCAGAGGCAGAGCAAAGAGAUUCGGAGAUAGAAGAGAGUGGGACCACUUCGAAGUCAACGGGUUAAACAUAGUGCGAGUUAGACAGAUCCCACGGAGAGUCUAUCUCUUCACUCUAGAUUUUAACAUCUAAUGCAAUUCGUUGCACACACGAAGGGAAUAAUAUAAUGAAGAAGAGUGAGAAUAGUUGUGAAUCAAUGAGUUGAUCACUAAAAAGAAGAAAAGGGAAUAAUAUAAUGAAGAUAACUGUCACUUUACCGGGCCGGAAAAGUGACACCGUCACGUCUCAGAGUUGUAUGCCUGGAACAAGAAGGGUCGUCGUACAAUUUCGGCGAUUCAAAAAAAGAAGGAGGCGAGCUCCCUAUCCCUCUUUGGGGUGCAGACAGGUUCGUCGGGGGUUAUGCAAGCUUCAGAGGUGGGGGGUACGAUUGUGGAAGAUCGCGUGGAGGCAGGGGUUGGAGAUGUGAUGCAAGGAUGCGGGGAAUUGGGUGGAAGGACAGUCGUUAAUGUGGAGUCAGGUUUGACGGGCGUGAGGCAAGAAGUGGAGGGAAGUGGGAUCUAGAUUAGAAGAGAUAAAUACGAUAUUCCUGAUCUGAUACCCGCUGACGAUCCCUAGCCUAGCUUGGCAAUCCCUUGAAAAUGCAAUGCAUAGGCGUCCUCGGAUUGGCCCGGGGGAUCGAAUUGAUUAUAGAAACAUGAGUUUAAUUAAUCGAUUUAUUAGUAAACAAGGAAAAAUAUUAUCGAGACGAAUAAAUAGAUUAACCUUGAAACAACAACGAUUAAUUACUCUUGCUAUAAAACAGGCUCGUAUUUUAUCUUUCUUACCAUUUCGUAACUAUGAGAAUGAGAAACAAUUUCAAGCCCAGUCAAUUUCAAUAAUUACAGGUCCUAGACCCAGAAAAAAUAGACAUAUUCCUCCAUUAACACAAAAGUUCAAUUCCAAUCGAAACUUAAGAAACUCCAACCAGACUUUAAGAAACAACAAUUGGAACUUAAGUUCCGAUUGUUGAUGUUUUAUUCGAAAGGGCCAAGUUGCAUUGGAAUCGAGAAUGUUUCAUUCAUAAUUGCAUAAAAGGAGUAAAAAUAGUGGCUGGGGCGCGUCGAGGGUCAACCUUGAUAUCGAAUAACCUUUCGAGCCUGCCCCAAUGGAUCUCUAUCCUCCUUUGAAACCAAUAGAAGUUCACUGACCAUCCCUGUUAAACAUAACCCAAGGUAGGAUCGAGAGGAGAAGAAUAGGACUCUUGCUAGUAUCAUAACCGGGAGAAUGAAACCAUUAGAUUAGUGGAAAGAAGUUCGAAUGGGAAGGACAUGACCCCGGAUGGCAUACGUGGGCGGGCAGGGGGCCCCACUACUUCUUCAUUCAGGGGGGCUAGCCUCAUGACUUCCCACUGGGCGAGGGGUGCGAACCAAGUCAUGAGCGAUAGCGAAGCCGCCUAUAGGCGUCGAAGGAUGAAAGUCCGUUAGACCUCCAAGCCAUAGCAACCUCUUGGGGAAAUUACGAGCACCGCAUUGCAAAUGCGCGAGAUCAAAGAAAUCACAAACCAAGCAUAAGUGGAUAGCAACUUAUACUAUGGAGGCAGAGUCUCCUCCCCUCAUUUCUGGCUGCUUAUUCGUCAUCACAAAGCAACCCGGUACCUUUUCUUAUGCGAGCGACUGAGACGAGAGCUUUCAAUUAUGCCGUUUUGGUCAAAUCCUAGGGCUCUUUCUGAUUUGAUUAAAUACUUCUAUCAUUUAGAUAGAGAGUGAACAAGAAUAGUAGUCACAGCGAGGGAUGCACAUAAAUAAGAUCUGCACUGGUAUAAGUGAUAGGUUUUGGGUAAGCUCGCUCAUAUCGAAAGAAGAAUUCAAAGGAAAUGAAGCAUAAGCUGUCACCACUAGGAGUAGGACUUGGAUGUUCCGGAAUCCUCUUGCCGAGCUGGAACGACCCAUCUCCUAUUUCAGCUUCCAACGCCUACACGUUGAGUCUGAGUUACUCGAGAAAGACUUAUUCAUAGUGGAGAUAGUCAACCUCCACGGGGGCUCCCCGGCCGGGGAGGCAAAGGGGAUUGCUAUCGUCACCCUUUCUCCCGGUGUAUGUGAAAGAGAAAAAGUGACGAACUUUUUUUCUUUUCGGUCUGCGGGGUCCAAAGAACGAGAGUCAGCUUCCUUAAGUCCGUUCUUCCUCAGUAGCUCAGUGGUAGAGCGGUCGGCUGUUAACUGACUGGUCGUAGGUUCGAAUCCUACUUGGGGAGAUUUGAUUCAUUCAGAAUUCGAAUUGAUAGUUAUAGCUUUUCUGACUAGCGACCCCUGUUGUCCUUCUCUUUUUUUUUCUAAAGACGCAGCAGAAUCGUCAAACGGGAAAUCAAAAGUGGGAAGUUGAUUGUAGGAUUUCUAUUCCUCACUCUCGUUAGACGGAGAGUAAGCGACUUCUAUUAGCACCGGACCGUCGAGUCGAAUUGAUCGUGUCAUGUGCAACGUCCAUCAAUGGUGGUUCAUUAAUGUCCAUAGAUUUAGACUCCUUCCCCCUCCCUUAUAUGCAAAAGAUCGAGAGGGGCCCAAACCAAACCGAGAACGUAAACAGAAUUCGACUCACUCUCGUAUGGCUCGCCCUCGAGCCCUGGGCCCUAUCGAACAAAUAGAGGAAAGGACAGAAAGGGGAAAAAGUAAAGUCUAAGCGACAUAUGGCACGAAAAGGAAAUCCAAUUUCGGUAAGACUUGAUCUGAAUUGUAGUUCAGAUCCAAGUCGGUUUAGUGAGGGCGACCGCGAAAGUCACCGAAUGGGUUCGACGCCUGGUCCAGUUAGACAGGGAUUCGUUCUCCGGUAGGGCUAAGACUCCUUCGUUGUCGAAAAAUCACCCAAGCUGAUGUGCGCACUCACGGUGGAUGAAGUAGCACAUGUCCGCCUGAAUGUUGUGAAUGGAAGUAUCAUCGAGCUGUUUUUCAGACUUGGGGAAUUUUGGAAGCUGCAUCAGAUCAUGACAGAAUUAAGGAAAUUAAUUAUUCACAACAAUACAAGUUAGCGACUAAUUUAACAAGUAUUUACUUACCUCGUCGUAAUUCGCACAAUAUUUCCCAUUAACCCUUAGGAACUCACAACAUUAAUAUCCGCAUAAUACUAUUCCCACCGGUUGCUUGUGACACUUUCAACAUCAAAAUAAUUAUAAGGUAUAUUAGGUUAUUAAAUGGGAACACACAAGCAUUUAUGAAAAUUAAGUAGUACUGUUUGGCAUCCAUAUGUACUUAUCGGCCACUUAUUGCAGACGAAUAUGCGUUCUCUUGAGUUUUUGCGUUGUCCGCCUCGCUAGUAAUACCUUUUAAAUGCACUGUUUGCAGAUAUAAUUAAUUUACAUUCGUCAGAGAUUAAAACACGUCAUGCUAAUAUCUUACUUACAGAUCGUGAAUUCUUAGAAAUUCCUGAUAGGUGUUGCUAUCUUUGUCGAGGGAAUCCAAGACGAUGACUUCAUUGUACUUUAGAUAGAGAAGAAAGACUAUCCAAUGGUCACUGCAAACGAAAUUGUUAAUCGAGCCAUGAUUAUAUGUAUAUACUCUUAGUGCAUAUAUAUUACAACUUACUCAAAGGCAUAUGGGGCAUAAACACACUACUUGUCCUGCGUAGAUUCAAGCGCAAUAGCUACGUACGUAGCGACAUCGAGCACCUUUUCAUGAUGCCUUUGUGCUACGUAAGCUUUCCUCUAUUCGGGAGUCAUCGCCUUGAUGUGUUCUGGUAGCUUCUUCUCGUCUAGCGUGUAUGUGUGGUUCGGCUUACUUAUCCUGCACGGGUUUAGGUAGGCGACAGGCUUUUUCAUCGCUUCGGCUUCCACGUAAUUCAUCCUGCCAACAAUGGAUAUCAAAUGAGCUACGCAUAUAGGUGUAGUGAUCUAUUAACAUGUUCAAGUGUAGCACUUACAGACACCAGAUGGCAAUCAAAUUGGCGUCUAGCCUUUUCCUAUGAUAGAGGGAAUGCAUAUCGGAGAAAUGGACUUGGAGUAGACAAGGACCGCUCCAGAAGAUGUUCUCCCCCACGGCAUCUGUGAAUGAAUCGAUGCCUUUCAUGGUGCUUGCCCUAAUGUACCAAUCGUGCCACCUUGUUAGUUGCCACGGUCCUUCUCUUAGUUGCCAGUCGUAAAUGAAUGGUUUGCCAUUCUCAAACUAGUGUGGCACGUCUGGGGAAUUGAUAUAGUUGAGAUAGUCAUCAAAGGUCUGCUUGAACCCUUUUAAUUUUCAGAUAUCAAAUUCGGUAUUUACGAUAUCUUUGUCCCUUCCUCGGAAUGCUGUUACCAUAUAAUGUUUCUUGGACGCACUUUUUGCUUUGUGCUUGUGCGUCCUUACCAUCACUGGCACAUCGGCACCCUUAGGUUCCUCUGGUUGCGAUGGCUCUGGUUGCGAUUGCUCUGGUUGGUCGGGCAUUGGUUGCUCAGGCACCGCUUCUAUUUCACCCGCCACUAGCUUUGUAGGCUCUGCUUGUACAGGCUGUGAUGGUUGUGCGGGAGACAUUUCCCGUAUUGCUAGCUGUGAUUGUUUCUUUGCAAGCACCAAUUGUUCUUUUGCAUCCUUUUUAGUCCGAGCUGAUGCAACGGGAGGCUCUGGUCUAGGAGGUGAUGCAACUGGUGGCUCUGGUCCUAGAGGUGAUGCAACUGGUGGCUCUGGUCUAGGGGGUGAAGUAAUAGGACUAUCCCUCGGACUGGCUACGACUGGUGGACGCGACUGUGACACCGGUAUCCUUGGUGGACGAUCAAUUCCAUCCGUUGACCCUAGUUCAAUAUCAUUCUUGUGCCAUAGUAUGAAUUGGUCGACGGCAUCUCCAAGGUACACAAUCUGCUCAGUAGUUGGAAAGUCGAGCUCGUGUAUCCGGUAAGCCUCAAUGACCGUCCGGACCUCUACCUUGACGUAGUCAUCCGGAAUGUCUUGGCAAUGAAACCUGUGGCCUGGUAUGAACCUCCCAGUUGCAACGAGUAUUUUCUUUCCCGCCCUGCCGACCGGAAUCAAGAGCUUGCAUAGAGUAUCCUCCGUUACAUCAUCGAAAGGAUAGCUCAGCUCAGGCUCUAAAACAGCAGCACCGUGCAUCAUUUUCUAACUCCAAUAUAUAUUGCAUUCGUCACAAGCUGCUGCCCUAGCCUAAGAGUCAAUCUCUUCCUUGUAGCGAUCACGCUUCUUGUAGGUAUGAGCAUCCUGUUUGAAUCCAUCCUUCCAGCUAGUCUUUGAGGAAACUCCCCAUACACGGCCAGAGUGCUCCGGUUUGCCGAAGGCAUAGGUUAGCUCGUCCCGAUCUCUAUCUGGCACGAACGUCCCGGCCUAUUGCUGCGUGACGAUGUUCUUCAUCUUGACAGCUACCUCCCGGAGCUUCUGAUCCUUGAAUACUACAUCCCCCUUAGGGGUGAAGGCCGGUGUUCUUGCACGCACCCAGUUCCUGCUUCGUGGGUUGUGAUUUUUCAUAGGAACCGGUUUCCCAGCCUUCUCCAUCUCUUCAUCUUGUUUUGCCCAUUUCUUCACUGCUUACCGGUAACCGGUCGAUCCCAAAUGAUGUGGAUAUUCAUUCCUUCUUGCUAGCUCAGCCAUCUUCUGGCUCUUCUCCUUUUCUUCCGCCGAUGUCUUAAGGGCAACAAACUCAUCCCACUGGGCCUGUGUUAUCCUUCCGUAGUCCUUAAACGGCGUGAGUCCCUUCUGGACAUAUUUCUUAUUCAGGUCUGUUUUCUAGUUUCACCACAGCUUCCCCAUUGUCUUCAACGCAUAAUCCUUGGCUUUAUUGUCGUCUGUCCCCUCUGGAUAUUCAAACUUGCUUUGCAGCAACGUCCAACAGCUGUUCUUUCUACUCUCUGGAACUUUCUUUCAAUCCUUCCAUGUGAUCUCCAUGAUAUCCCAGACCACCGCCCCACAUUGGUUGCUAUACUUCGAACAUGAGUCUUCCGGUGACAGGGGUUCCCCUGUCUCACUCAUCCGCGUCAGCACGCUUACUUCCUUCAACAACAUGUUCUUCCCUCGCUCGCCCCUCCUUUUCUUAGGUUUGCUUGAAGCUGUUGUGUGCACGACAGUUGUAGCUUCAGCUUCAGGUUCAGUUGCGGCUUGGGCUUUCCUUUUGGAGCGACGUGGAGCAUUCAACUAUUGUUUGCAAGUCAAGUGACUUUAAUUAAAAUCCAUAGUUCGCAGUUAAUAUGAUUGGAACUAAACAAAUAUUAUAUGCUACGUACCACCGGUUCGGGGGGAACGUAGUCGGAGUCAACUUCAUUGUCGCUACUGCCCUUUCUCUUCUUUGUAGGAGAAGGAUGGGGGUCACUCGGCGAGUGAUACGAUCCACUGCUUGAUUCACUUGAGCUAGACGACGAAGAUUCCUCCGCGAUUACUUGCGUGCAAAUAUCUUCCUCCAUGACUAGCUGAGUUUCCUUGCCCUUGUCACCCGUGGGUUGCUCUUGGGUGGGUUUGUCCAUUGAUAUCGCUUGAAGGUGAAUUCAUGUUAGUUGCGAAAUGUAAUUAUUUUCUUAUUGUAAAUCCGAAAAGAAGGCAAAAUUUAGAUACUAAUUUUGUACUACAACUAUAAAUAUUGUUACCAAUCAAUGAGAUUGGUAACGACAUCAAUAUUACAAUCCACCAACGCUGACCAUUUCAAACUACCUAAUUAAGUUCCUUAAUUAUCAAUGAAUGACAUAAUACAAAAUGCAUGGAGAAUUAUGGUGUCUAGGUCGGUUCCGUCCAUGGAUUACACUGACCAAUCCACCAUAAUUCCCCAUGCAUUUUGUAUUCUGUGAUGGUUUGAUAACCUAGGAACUACAUUAAAUCUGCGGCCAAUCUAUCAAUUCUUCCAUUUGAACUAAAUUUCAAACCCUAAACCUAAUUAAGUUCCUUAAUUAUCAAAGAAUGAUAGAAUACAAAAUGCAUGGAGAAUUUUGGUGUCUAGGUUGGUUCCAUCCAUGGACUACACUGAACAAUCCACCAAAAUUCCCCAUGCAUUUUGUAUUCUGUGAUGGUUUGAUAACCUCGGAACUACAUUAAAUCUGCGACCAAUCUAUUAAUUAUUCCAUUUGAACUAAAUUUCAAACCCUAAACCUAAUUAAGUUCCUUAAUUAUCAAAGAAUGACAGAAUACAAAAUGCAUGGAGAAUUUUGGUGUCUAGGUCAGUUCCAUCCAUGGACUACACUGAUCAAUCCACCAAAAUUCCCCAUGCAUUUUGUAUUCUGUGAUGGUUUGAUAACCUCGGAACUACAUUUAAUCUGCGGCCAAUCUAUCAAUUCUUCCAAUUGAACUAAAUUUCAAACCCUAAACCUAAUUAAGUUCCUUAAUUAUCAAAGAAUUACAGAAUACAAAAUGCAUGGAGAAUUUUGGUGUCUAGGUCGGUUCUGUCCAUGGACUACACUGACCAAUCCACCAAAAUUCCCCAUGCAUUUUGUAUUCUGUGAUGGUUUGAUAACCUCGGAACUACAUUAAAUCUGUGGCCAAUCUAUCAAUUCUUCCAUUUGAACUAAAUUUCAAACCCUAAACCUAAUUAAGUUCCUUAAUUAUCAAAGAAUGAUAGAAUACAAAAUGCAUGGAGAAUUUUGGUGUCUAGGUCGGUUCCGUCCAUGGACUACACUGACCAAUCCACCAAAAUUCCCUAUGCAUUUUGUAUUCUGUAAUGGUUUGAUAACCUCGGAACUACAUUAAAUCUGUGGCCAAUCUAUCAAUUCAUCCAUUUGAACUAAAUUUCAAACCCUAAACCAUAUAUAUAGCCAUACAUCAUUUCAUUGCAAAACCAUAUAUAUAGCCAUACAUCACUGGAUUUCAGAAUUUAAAUCACACUUGCAGCAAUGUGAAUUUAUAUGGAAAAAAGAGCACGAUUAUAUAUAUGCAGUUUUAGUGCAUCAGUCAAACAAAACAGCUAAUAAAAUAUAUACAAAUUCAUCCAUCCAUCAUUGUCACGCAUUAUAAUACAUUAAAAUUCAUCGAUACGUCCAACAUGAUAUACAUAUAUAAUGAAUUAGCAUAUAACACUUUUCCCUACACCUUCAUUUCUCAUGUAUGGCUUCGGUGAUUCACCAAUUGAUUCUUCGACGCGUAAUAUCUUGUUUCGAAAAUCUGUGAAUAGUGUCAUGUUCUCGUAUUGAUUGUAUGCCUCGACAUCUUCGACAUCAUCAACUCCCAAAAUCCUUUGUUUUCCCGAAAUAACUAUGUCUUUCUUCAAAUGAGAUGGGUCUGUCACAUAGAAACUUGAGCGACCCGAUCGGCAAGCACCCAUGGGUCAUCCUUGUGGCCUACGUUGUCAAAGUCAACUAUUGUCAGCCCAAAGUUGUCCACAGACACGCCGGCUGGGUGUUUCACCCAUUGGCACCGAAACAGUGGAAUCUGCAUAUUUGGCCCGUAGUCUAGUUCGCAGAUUUCUUCUAUGAAUCCAUAGUAUGUGCUCUUUUGCCCAGUUGUGUCGAUUGCUUCUACUCGAACGCCACUGUUUUGGCAUGCACUCAUUUUGUCUUUCGCUUUUGUGUAAAACGUGUAUCCAUUUAGAUCAUAUGCUUGCCACGAGGUAUACACACUUGAUGGCCCAUCAGCCAGCAUUUUGAUUGUUCUUUUUUCCAUGGUAUGGCCAUCUGGUAGAUCGAGGUUCUUGAACCAUUCAGUAAAGUGAUGCUUGUGUUUCUUCAUGAUCCAUGCAUUAGAUCGCCCCACAUUUGUUGCUUGUAAUUCAUGCAGGUGUUGCUCUAUGUACGGCUCCACUAUUGCGAGUUGCUGCAGCACAGUGAAAUGAGCAUCUUUCACUUUUUUGUAGUCAUUGUCGUGGAUUAUUUUCUUCCCUUUUGUUCCUUUCCCAGAUAAUCUACCUUCAUGUCGAGAUACCGGUAAACCAAUUGCUUUCCCAUCUUUUUGGUAAUCAAUGCAACACUCAACGACCUCCUCGGUUGUGUAUCCCUCUAUCAUGGAUCCCUCUGGGUAGGCGCGGUUCCGUACGUAACCUUUUAGAAUGGACAUGUAUCGUUCGAAAGGCCACAUCUGAUGCAGGUACAGGGGCCCAAGUGCAAUUAUCUGAGGCACGAUAUGAACUAUGAGGUGUUGCAUCAUAUCCAAAAAUGAUGGAGGGAAACACAUCUCAAGCUCGCACACUGUCUGUAUAGUGAAAGCCUGGAGAGGACAUAACUCUUUAGGAUCAAUUACUUUCUGAGAUAUGGAAUUGAAGAAAUAACACAGCUUAGUGAUGACCAGCUUUACGUGAACUGGUUCGACUGCUCUAGUUGCAAUGGCAAGGAAUACUGUGAGCAUUACAUGACAGUUAUGAGAAUUGUAGCCUGAAAGCGACAGAUCCUUCAUCGACACUAGUCGCUUAAUGUUUGAGGAGAAGGCAGUAGGCACUCUCACCCCAUGUAGGGAUUUGCACAAUGCAAUUUUGUCCUCUCUUGUCAAGGUGUAGCAAGCAGGCGGAAGGUACUCUUUCCUUAUUUGCAUAUCCACGAGGUCCUUACGUGAUUUCAGCCUAUCCUUGGUCUUAGUUGGUAUGUCCAGUAUAGUCCCAAUGGUGCUAUCGAAGACAUUUUUCUCUAGGUGCAUGACAUCGAUAGAAUGGCGUAUGUCUAAAUCUUUCCAGUACGGAAGGUACUUAAAGAAAAUGGAGUGCUUCUUGAAUGGCACGCUAGGGCUUGUUGGCACUUCGGCAUUAUUUCUCUUCCGCUUAUUUGUUUCCUUCUUUUUUACCUUCCCAAAAACAACCUUCAGGUUUUUGGUCAUUCUGAACACUUUAUCACCCUUCCAUGGUUCUGGUGCAUCACCUUCCUCAACAGUACCAUCGAAAUAUUCUGCUUAGGAGCGGUACGAGUGAUUCUUUCUCAAGAAAUGCUAGUGCCGCAUGUACACUAGCUUCUUCGAUCCCUUAAGAUACCUGUACAUGGUACCAUCCACACAAAUAACGCAACCCGUCUUUCCCUUGAUUUGUCCCAAUAGGGAAAACAGUGUAGGCAAGUCGUUGACGGUGACAAUGAUAAUUACAUGUAGCGUGAAGUACUCCCACAGGAAUUCGUCCCAAACUCGGAUCCCGUGUUCCCACAAAUCGCGCAUAUCCUCCAACAAAGGCUCCAGAAACACAUCCAUGUCAUUGCCAGGUUGUCGUGGUCCCUGUACAAGGAUGGUCAACAAGAUAUACUUCCUUUUCGGACACAGCCACGUUGGGAGGUUGUUGUUGAGAUUAUAGACAUAUAAUGAUUUAAUCUAUUCCAUAAAUAAAUCAUGACAUUACAGAUGAAAACUAGCAUGAACGCAUCAUUAGAUCUAUACAUGUAAACUACACAGUAUAACAUGAACAGAUCAAAUAUGCGCAACAUAUUGAACACGUACCGAGGUGACGGAAAGAUCGGUUGCUUGGUCGAAACUUUUCGCAGGUGUCUACGAAGACACGAAACACGCGAGCGAAGAGGAAGGCGAGCCGUCGUGAACAAAACAGGGAGCAGUCGCGCGAAGCGCUUCCCAAAAACCUUAUUGCCGCCUUCUCCCGGUGCAGGACGUCGAAGGCAGAGGUUCCGGAGACAUGCUCUCCCGAUCGUCGGUGCACGCCGGCGAGCGGGAUGGAGUAGUCUACGAGCGACGGCGCAGUACAGAGUAGGAGGCAAACCCUAGAUUGAUUUCGCCAGUGUUGCGUGAAGACGGCGGGUCGGUUUAUAUAGAGAAGGGUCGCUUGAUCAGGGCGCCCGCACGAUCUCUACUGCGCAUAACCGAACCAGAUAAGUCGCGCGUAACUUAUCCGGACUCCACGCCGUUUGCACGCACCGGAUUUUUCGGAACGUUUCCAAAACAAAAACGAAUCCGAAUUUGCAGCAAAACAAAACUGCAAAAGGAGGCUGCAUCUGCGCAAGGGUGAGGAGCCAAUUUUUCGGACCAUUCGACGCGUACGUCGUGCACGCGCGCCGCCUGCCCGGCCCGGCCAGGCGAGGCGAGCGAGCGCGCGUGUGUUUCCCCUCUUCUCUCCACCACACAUGCUUCAAGUGGCUAGGAGGACAUCCUCCCUUUUAAGGAGGUCCCCCUCUCCUAGAAUAAGCAAGGUGGUACUAAACUCCACAUGCAUGCCAUCCCAUGAGGUGGGCUUUUGUGAUUUUCCAAAGAAUUAAUCUUCGAGUGGGCUAAGGCCCAUUCAUUAAUUCCAACAGUUGUACAUGGUUAGGAGUACUGGCCACGUGCUGUGUGAGCUGCUCAAGUCACCGAAUGGAUUCAUUCCAUCGGUGCUCAAUGCAAACCUUACGUUUCUUGGGUCCUCUGCAAACUUAUGAUACUUUCUGUCAAAUUCCUUCCACUGUCUUGCAUCUGCAGGAUGUCGAAUCAUCCCAUCCUUUUUUCGCUUUUCGUGAUGCCAGCGCAUCAAUUCGGCAUCCCUCGGGUUUGAGAACAAACGCUUCAAACGAUCUUUCACCGGAAGGUACUGUAUGACAAGCUGGGGAAUCUUCUUUUUGUUACUGUCUUUGCAUGGAUCAGACUCUUCUACAUCGUCAAGGGCAACAUCCAGACCCUCGGACUGGCUACGGCUUGUUUUGUAUCGACUACUCUUGCAUGUUGGGCAUCUGUCCAAAUCCUCGUACUCUUUACGGAAUAGGAUACAGUGGUUAACACACGCGUGUAUCUUUCGCACACCCAGUGACAAAGGGCAUAUAAGCUUCUUCGCUUCAUAUGUGCUUGUUGGCAGGGAGUUGGGUUGCGGAAAAAGUUUCUUCAACAAAACCAACAAGUCGUUAAAACUACUGUCGGACCAACCAUUUCUGGCCUUCAAUCUCAUAAGCUCAAGCACCGUCCACAACAAUGUGAAAUCCUUCUCACAGCCCUUUGCCUCAUCGUACAAAAGAUCAUUCGCUGCCUUUUUCAAUGCAUCAAAGUUAUCCAACCCACGAGCGGACCCAGCAACAACCUCAGGUUUAGCAUGACGCAACAUCUCUUCCAAAUCUGCAAAAUUACCAUUAUCUACGCUGACAUUACCAUCAUCGGCAUCAUCAACUGUAUUGUGCUGACCAUUGCCACCAACAACAACAUCAUCAUCAUCAACGGGUUCUACUGCAUACACUUCCUCUUCUUCUUCAGCUACUACAAUGACAUCCUCGUCCCAGCUCAACACUUCGUCGCGUACUGUAGCCUGGUUCGUAACCUGCUUGCUUGGGAUCUCUCCAUGAUGUGACCAGUUUGUGUAGCGUUCAACAAAUCCAUGCGUCACCAAGUGUUGCUCGAUUACAGAUGGAUCGUUCCAACUUUUCUGAUUUUUGCAGUGCACGCAUGGACAUCUAAUAUCUUUGGUCUUCUUAGAUGCAGCAUUCUUCUUAGCUGCUUUCAUGAAUAUGUCAACUCCUUCAAUGUACGACGCACGAUAUCUCUCUUUAUUCAUCCAUGCCCUGUCCGCCAUCUAUGCAUUAAUUAAUUAAUUGCGGAAAAAUAAUACAACUUUAGUUAGUUUAAAUAUUUUGAACAAGAUAAUUAAAGCUAGCCAAAAAUCUGCAUAUAUAAAACAUACAUCCCUCGGACGAAUUACCAAACUACCCUUCUUUCUCUUCUUCUCUUCCUAGCUAGCUCAUUCUUCUGCAGUUAACUAAUAUAUAAAUCUACUAAAAAUAAGCCUAUCGAAAACUAGAUAUAUAUAUAUGGAACAUCGAUCAUGCACAAUAUUUCUUGCAAAGUUUGCCAUUUUGAGCUCCAAAUAACAAAUAAAAAAUGUUUUUCUUCCUCCAUGUCAAGUAUUUUUUGCGAUGAAAAAUCUCAACAUACAACCAAUAAAAAUGAAAAAAAAAGUUGACAAAAAGAGUAGGACAAAGUAUAACUAACCUCUGGUACAAUAAAUCUUUCAAAAGAUUCAAGAUCAAAACCUUCCCCCCUAUGUAUGUGUUCUUAAGAGAGAGAAAAUCGUGCUUCUAAUGGUGCUCGAGGUUACUGUAGUUGGUUCAUAUAGUUCAGCGCAUUUUCCCUGGCGGUCGUCAUAUGUCGGUUCGUUUGAACCGCCAUUGAAAAUGAUUUGAGGUGGCGGAGGGUUAAGGACGCCGCCAGCGAAGAUGUAGGUAUCUUCGCUUGUGGUCCACGUCACCACACCGCCAGCGAAGAUAUGGUAUCUUCGCUGGCAUUAAGUUAAGAGGGCCGCUAGCGAAGACACCUACAUCUUCGCUGGCGGGCCGCAUCCCCUUACCGCCAGCAAAGAUACAAUACCUUCACUGGCAUGAGCUUAAGAGAGCCGCCAGAGAAGAUAUCCAAUCUUCGCUGGCGGCCUUCUUAAGUAGACCGCUAGCGAAGAUGUGUUUCCGCUGGCGGCCCUUGACCCCCACCCCCACGAUUUUCUGCGCUGGCGGUUUUCCCACAUGGCCGCCAUGAAAAAUAUUUUCCAAACGUCAUGAAAAAUCGAUUGUCUAGUAGUGGUCACCACCUACUUAGCUAUAUUCUCGUAAGAGAAUGAUCAACAAAUGAAACCCAAUUCAAAUUGAGGUUUCUUUUGUCAAAAACUUGCUCCAACACUAUGUUUAGAGAUGUAUCUGAAAAUUGGAAUCCCCUUCUCCUUCUUUCUUCUUUCUUGCUCUGUGCAAAUCGGGAGACACUCUCGCUCCCAAUUUCCACACGCCAAAAGAAUAGGGAGACAUGUUGAGAGAGAUCACACGCGGGGAUGGAAUGGGUGGAGCGAUUUUUGUUACCGUACGAUAGUUAGGGGUGUAUCCACUUUUUAUUAUUGGGAGUUAAUUUAAGAUAUUUGUUGGAGAUAAAAAUUAUUUACACCUUAAAAUUAAAUUAGAAAUUCCAAAAACAAAAUUUUAGAGAUAACUUUUUUUUAUCAAUUGGGCAUGUUCUAACAUAAUCCACUCAAUAUAUAAAAUCUCCUGUAAGUGUAGUAUUAUACUCCCUCCGUCCCAAAAUAUAAGGGCGGUUUUUAGCUAAUGGGAUAGGGAAAUGAAUUCCCACGCACCAAAAGACAUCUUUAAAUCCUACCCAUUCAUUUUUCCUCUUCCAUUUAAUCCCAACCCUUCAUUCAUUUCUCAAUCCCAAUCCCACCCCCAUUUCCCAUUAAUAAACACACCCAAGGUAUUUUGGAGGGAUGUAAAGGAUCAAAUCCCUUCAAAAUCUCUUAAAUUAUGGGACGGAUGGAGUACUACAGUAGGAGGUACUUGCUGCCUAAACAACAUUAGCACAAUCCCGACAGGUGGGCUCAAUCUAAUCAGACAAACAAAAUUAUGAAAUCAUCAGCUACUGUUGCAGUUUCUCACCAACUAUAAAUACUUGGGGCCCUUGAAUAGUAAGAAUGAAAAAAAAACGUAGGAAUAGGAAAAGACUGGAUUCUAACAGGAAUAGAAGUGUAAAACAGAUGAUUUCAAAACACAAGAAAAACAUAGAAAUGAUCGUUUGAUUGGACCGUAGGAAAAACACAAAAAUCGGAUAACAGAGAUAGCCUCAAAGGAAAUUUUCUAAGAGCUUUAAUCUCUUGCUAAGUUUUCUCCAAAAUCUCUACAGGAUUAUCUAUUUCAUAAAAAUUAUGUCAUUGUAACAAGAGGAAAAAAAUACUAACAAGUAGUAAGAGUUUAUUUCUCAUCUCCCUACUAACAAGCUAGUACUAAAUCCAUCUUGUCAAAUCAGAUAAAAACAAUCUGUUCAUCUCAUUUACAGUGUUUUCAUCU